CCUACGGGGGGCAGCAGUGGGGAAUAUUGGACAAUGGGGGCAACCCUGAUCCAGCAAUGCCGCGUGUGUGAAGAAGGCCUGCGGGUUGUAAAGCACUUUCAGUAGGGAAGAAAAGCUCGGGGCUAAUACCUCCGGGUCUUGACGUUACCUAAAGAAGAAGCACCGGCUAACUCCGUGCCAGCAGCCGCGGUAAUACGGAGGGUGCGAGCGUUAAUCGGAAUUAGUGGGCGUAGUGCGCAGGUAGGGGAUUCCCGGGGCGUAACCGGGGAACUGCAUUCGAUACUGCCCGGCUAGAGUAUGGGAGAGGGAAGCGGAAUUUCCGGUGUAGCGGUGAAAUGCGUAGAUAUCGGAAGGAACACCAAUGGCGAAGGCAGCUGCCUGGCCAAAUACUGACGCUGAGGUGCGAAAGCGUGGGGAUCAAACAGGAUUAGAUACCCGGGUAGUC
rnacentral:rRNA from 1 species